CUGCUCGCUCCCUCCCAUGGCGCCUCCACCUACCAGCUUCGCCCAGCAGCUAUGGCGCCCAAGCUCUCUGCUCCCUCCCUCUCCAAUGCAGCAGCACGUGAGCUCGCCCCCUCACUCCUCUUCCCUGUCACGGCCAGGAAACACCGGAUCUCGCGCCCUCUCUCUGGUUUGGGUGGAGCAGCACCUCCCCUGCUAUCUCCUCCCCGACGCCCCUUCGAGAUGGCACCCAACAGCCCCGGCACCUUCCCUGCUUCGUCUCGCUGCCACCGCUGCGCGCGUGCCAAGUGUUCGGCAAAAUGUCGAGGGAGACGUGUUGUUGCAGCACCGUCGACGCUCACCGGUUGGUCGCUGUUUUGCGCAUCCCAUCCGCGACGCCGUCGAAAACCGUGGUGA
rnacentral:misc_RNA from 1 species